rnacentral:RNase_P_RNA from 1 species
AUAGGUAUUAGAGUUAAUCGCUUGUGUAAGCAAGAGGAAAGUCCGGGCUCCACAGAGCAAAAGGGUAGCUAACGGCUACUAAAGGAAACUUUAAGGAAAGUGCCACAGAAAAUGGACCGCUUUAAUAUAAUCGUAGAUUUGUUAGAGUAAGGGUGAAAAGGCGGUGUAAGAGACCACCAGUUCCUUAGGAGACUAAGGAAGCUAGGUAAACCCCCUUUGGAGCAAGACUAAAUAGGAGAGAUAAAGGAGUUGCUCGCUCUCUCUCAGGGUAAGUUGCUUGAAGCUAUAAGUGAUUAUAGUUCUAGAUAAAUGAUUGACAAAUACAAAACCCGGCUUAUUUAAUGCCUAUCUAU